GUGGCAGCAGCUCAGUGGUAGAGCUCCCUCCCGCUUCAUAUGCGGGAAGACCUGGGUUCGAUUCCCGGCUGCUUUC
rnacentral:tRNA from 1 species